AUUGAACGCUGGCGGAAUGCUUUACACAUGCAAGUCGAGCGGCAGCGCGGGGCAACCUGGCGGCGAGCGGCGAACGGGUGAGUAAUGCAUCGGAACAUGUCCAUGUCGUGGGGGAUAGCCCGGCGAAAGCCGGAUUAAUACCGCAUACGCCCGAGAGGGGAAAGUGGGGGACCGCAAGGCCUCACGCGAUUGGGUUGGCCGAUGUCCGAUUAGCUAGUUGGUGGGGUAAAGGCUUACCAAGGCGAUGAUCGGUAGCUGGUCUGAGAGGAUGAUCAGCCACACUGGGACUGAGACACGGCCCAGACUCCUACGGGAGGCAGCAGUGGGGAAUUUUGGACAAUGGGGGCAACCCUGAUCCAGCCAUUCCGCGUGAGUGAAGAAGGCCUUCGGGUUGUAAAGCUCUUUUGUCCGGAACGAAACGGUUGCGUCUAAUAAGCGCGACUACUGACGGUACCGGAAGAAUAAGCACCGGCUAACUACGUGCCAGCAGCCGCGGUAAU
rnacentral:rRNA from 1 species